AUUGAACGCUGGCGGCAGGCCUAACACAUGCAAGUCGAGCGGAUGACGGGAGCUUGCUCCUUGAUUCAGCGGCGGACGGGUGAGUAACGCCUAGGAAUCUGCCUGGUAGUGGGGGACAACGUGUCGAAAGGAACGCUAAUACCGCAUACGUCCUACGGGAGAACGCAGGGGACCUUCGGGCCUUGCGCUAUCAGAUUAGCCUAGGUCGGAUUAGCUAGUUGGUGGGGUAAUGGCUCACCAAGGCGACGUUCCGUAACUGGUCUGAGAGGAUGAUCAGUCACACUGGAACUGAGACACGGUCCAGACUCCUACGGGAGGCAGCAGUGGGGAAUAUUGGACAAUGGGCGAAAGCCUGAUCCAGCCAUGCCGCGUGUGUGAAGAAGGUCUUCGGAUUGUAAAGCACUUUCAGUAGGGAGGAAGCGUUGUGUGUUAAUAGUACACAGCGUUGACGUUACCUACAGAAGAAGCACCGGCUAACUCUGUGCCAGCCGCCGCAGUAAGAC
rnacentral:rRNA from 1 species